rnacentral:rRNA from 1 species
GCCAGACUCCUACGGGAGGCAGCAGUGGGGAAUAUUGCACAAUGGGGGGAACCCUGAUGCAGCGACGCCGCGUGGGCGAGGAAGUAUAUCGGUAUGUAAAGCCCUAUCGGCAGGGAAGAAGAAAUGACGGUACCUGAAUAAGAAGCACCGGCUAAAUAAGAGCCAGCAGCCGCGGUAAUACGUAUGGGGCAAGCGUUAUCCGGAAUGACUGGGUGUAAAGGGAGCGUAGACGGUUGUACAAGUCUGAUGUGAAAGCCCACGGCUCAGCUGUGGGAGUGCAUUGGAAACUGUAGAACUAGAGUAUCGGAGAGGCAAGUGGAAUUCCUAGUGUAGCGGUGAAAUGCGUAGAUAUUAGGAGGAACACCAGUGGCGAAGGCGGCUUGCUGGACGAAAACUGACGUUGAGGCUCGAAAGCGUGGGGAGCAAACAGGAUUAGAUACCCCAGUAA